AUGGCGGCGAGCAACCUCGAGGGUGUGCUCCUGGGGAUGGGAAACCCCCUUCUCGACAUCUCCGCCGUCGUCGACGAGGCCUUCCUCGCUAAGUAUGAUGUGAAGCCGAACAAUGCCAUUCUUGCCGAGGACAAGCACUUGCCCAUGUACGAUGAGUUGUCCAGCAAGGACAAUGUUGAAUAUAUUGCUGGAGGAGCCACGCAGAACUCUAUCAGGGUUGCCCAAUGGAUGCUUCAAACUCCUGGUGCAACAAGUUACAUGGGUUGCAUUGGAAAGGACAAGUAUGGUGAGGAGAUGAAGAGCGCCGCUAAAGCUGCAGGAGUUACUGCUCAUUACUAUGAGGAUGAGGCUGCUCCUACAGGCACAUGUGCUGUCUGUGUUGUUGGUGGCGAAAGGUCAUUGAUUGCAAACUUAUCUGCUGCGAACUGCUACAAAUCUGAGCAUCUAAAGAGGCCAGAGAACUGGGCACUAGUUGAGAAAGCGAAAUACAUCUACAUUGCUGGCUUUUUCCUUACGGUGUCCCCUGAAUCUAUUCAGCUUGUUGCUGAGCAUGCUGCUGCAAAUAACAAGGUUUUCUUGAUGAACCUCUCCGCUCCCUUUAUCUGUGAGUUUUUCCGUGAUGCCCAAGAGAAGGUUCUUCCGUAUUCUGACUACAUCUUUGGAAAUGAAACCGAGGCAAGGAUCUUCUCUAAAGUCCGAGGGUGGGAGACUGAGAAUGUCGAGGAGAUCGCUUUGAAGAUCUCACAACUGCCUCUGGCUUCUGGAAAACAAAAGAGGAUUGCUGUGAUUACUCAGGGUGCUGAUCCAGUAGUUGUGGCUGAGGAUGGGAAGGUAAAAACAUUCCCUGUGAUCCUAUUGCCCAAGGAGAAGCUUGUUGACACCAAUGGCGCUGGUGAUGCGUUUGUUGGCGGCUUCCUCUCUCAGUUGGUUCAAGGGAAGAGCAUCGAGGACUGCGUAAAGGCCGGUUGCUACGCAGCAAACGUUAUCAUCCAGCAAUCUGGCUGCACUUACCCUGAGAAGCCUGACUUCAACUAG
rnacentral:rRNA from 1 species